GACCCCGACCGUAAGUCGAGGGAGGUCGACGAGCGUUGGUCGUCCACAGAUGAGAUAAAGAGAAACAUAUGAGAAACAUAGGAGUGUUAUAUGGACAAGUCGAACAUGGUCAUCUCUACUUCUGACUUCUCCAGGUCGCGACCAAAACCAAAGGUAAGCAGAAGUCACUUACUGUCAAAUUGUGCAUAUUGAACUGCCUAAAUUUGAGAAGUCAUUGGUAUCAGAUUGUUCAUGCCUCAUAUGAGUUAUUGAGAAUAAGAGAUAAAGAGAAGUCGUAUAUCCCGUCGUAGCUGAAUAUAUUGUAAACAAAGAAUUGCACUGUGAGGUUCACUUGUAACACCUAAGGGGAAUGGAAUCCCUUAAAAACAAAGGGUUUGCCGUCUGUUUGAGCCUGGGACGUCGCAAGGGGUGUACAAAAAAAAACGAAUAGCAUAGGGUAAUUUGUUGCGCGAUAGGAAUUCGGUUGGGUUUAGGCGAAGAAGAGUGACCACUAAAUUAAAGAAAUGCUCAUGGAUGGUGAAUUUAAUCAUGAAUGUGCUGAAUAUAAUCCAACUAAAGAUUAAAUAUCCAUUGAAAUUGAGCAGCAAAUGAUGCUUAAUGUUGACAAAAAGAAACAAGAUAAAGAAAGGAAGCGCGCAUUAGAAUAAUGGCAAAAGCACAAUUUGGGUAAAAUUCGCGAUUCAGACAAACUGACGAAGUUAUAGGACAUUGACAGAAACUAUGUAAAUGUAAUAUAAAUAUAAAUGUAAAAGACUAUGAAAGACGUAAGCAACAUAUUAGAUAAGGGCUCAUGGAACUUAAAGAGGUGAACAGAGAAAGGCGCACUGCGCAUUUAAUGAUGGUGACGGACAUUGGAACAGGACCAGAAAACUAUCCGAGACGGCUGGUAAGGUGGCAUGUGACGUUGACUGGCUUCAGCCCUCCCCGCGACCCUCAUGAGGAUAAGCGGUAAAGAAAAUGGAUGGAUAUUAUAUUAUAUUAUAUAACAAGCAAACAAAACGCUACAAGGUUGAAAACUCUUUUUAUUCCUCGGGCUUUUUAGAAUAUAUCCACUAUUUGAUCAUAUAACUUGCACUGUAUGCGGUUUUAAUUGCUUUUUAAAAAUAUUUUGUAAUUUUUAUUGUUUUUAUCCCGUUUUAAAUGUUUUAUCUGUUUGUUUUCAAACUGCCUUUAAUCAUGUAAAGUUACCUCGUGCAAUGAAAUGCGCUAUAAAAAUACAUCUGCUUUGCUUUACAAUGAUGCCUAUGACAGAGGUUCUGGCAGGUCCAAUAUACAAGCCAUUUGAUCUUAAAGAUGUUAAUUGUCUUUCUGCUAACUUGUCUCGUCUCUCAUCUGCUGGUAAUGCAUGGCUGUCUGGUUCUGUGGAAACUUUACAGGGGUAUACACUCUGCAUGGGAGACUGGAGACAAGCAGCAUCUAGAUCAUGCACUAGUAUUGAACACCGAGAAAUCGAGAAAGACAACUGCAGGUAUGCUUAACGUACCCAAUGAAAUCAUACUGAGAGCACACUUCGAGCGUCUGGCCGCAGUUAUCAGAGAGAGGUUCCCCACUCCUGUUGCAGCCGCACCCACUUCUUUCCCAUAUGUUAAAUGAUGCACUUGAGCACUUGACUAACUGUACUAAACUUUGGACUGAAUCGACUGGACAUCACCCUGGACAGUCUGGUUAGGAGGAGGCUAUGUGCAGGACUGGGAUCCUGGCAGGUCUCCUUGAACCAGUACAGACAACUCUUAAAGCUGACCCUGACCUCCUGUCCAGAGAUGAGCCUAGAUUUAGACGACACUUAGUGCAUCACCUCAAAAUUUAUUUUAGCCAACAACAGGGUAAUAAUGAAAUUACUAAACUCCAAAAAAAAACUUCUGAAAUUACAAGUAGCACAGGCAAGACGGAAAAGGUCCAAAACCACACGAGAUGUAAUUUUUUGGCAGACACAACCACCUAGACAGGCAGGUGGGUUCUAGGGUAAUAGCCGGGGUGGAUACGCAGGAAGGUGUGGAGGGGUCGGGGGAGAGUGCAACAUCAACGUGUUCAAGGGUGUUUUGGUUGUGGUUCUCUCGAUCACUGGAUUAAAGACUGUCUUACAGCUCUCCACCUCAAGCUCCAAUGCAAGGGCGUGGUGGCUGGUCCAACAACUGAGGGGGCCAAGGCAGAGGCAGAAAUAACAGCUUUGCCCACCCUGGCAGCAGAAUGGACAGCAGCAGGUUGGACAGUACCACAAUGGGUGCCCAGGAAGCCAGGGUUCUGGCGAUGCAGGUGCCAAGAUCCCCAUCUCUGUUGCUGAGCGAAUGUGAACACUCUUGUUGACACAGGGGCAACACACUCCUCACUCAACAUCUCGCUCCCGGACACUUUAUUGUCACAACAGACUGUGCAAUUGAUGGGCUUCUCGGGGACUCAAGAGUCCUUGCAAUGGACUCAACCCCUACCGACAAUAUUGGCUGGAAAGACCUUCCACCAUUCAUUUAUAAGGCCGGCAGCUGACACAGUCUGCCACUCUGGAUAGGUCUUAUGACACCUGUGAGUGAACCAACUCCAACUGUGGACAUUUAUUGGGCCCGACUUGAAACACUGCUCAAACCUGGUCUCAUACAUCAAUUUCUGUUGUGGAAGCCCUGGUUAAACACUCUUAGGGCUUACCAGCCUCCACUAGAUCCAUACCAUUGCACACUAUAUUCCGACCUCAACCACGAUCUAGUCCAAACAUAAAAGGUGAUGCUUGGGAGUCAGUACCCCACAUUUCACUCACUCUUUCUCCAGGACACGAGGCCCGACAGCUGGGAGCUAUGGUGAAACUGACUGACUCAAAUGACUGACUGGGAGGACAGACCACUCCCUAACGUACAGAUCUCGAAAUCGACAUAUGCAUACUGCAUCAUUAUUCCUGACACACCUCCGACAACUAAAAUCACAAUAUUAGAACACGAGACCCUCACUAGAGAACACGGACAUGACUACUCUGACCAUGACAACGACGAGUCAAUGCCUAAAGUGCCUAAAUUAGUUUGGCUCUCCGAACCCUUUGAUGUUGGACAUUGUACAAAGACACCAGACAUUAAAAUCAAUUAUUCUAGGAUCUCAUUUUUACAGACCUCAAUAUCCUUGACGCACAGCUGCUAACCAGGGGAUGGAGGGCACUCUCACUGGCCUGUGGAAUUCUGGAGUCUUGGACACAUCCACCUCCCCGUGGUUUACAUCAUUCAGCAAGGUUUUAAAAGCUGAUGGUCACACUUAUCGUAUGACACAUGAUUUGAGAGCCGUUAAUGAUGUAACGACCACACCACUGUUACCUCUACCAGACCACCACAGAAUGUUGUCUACCAUCACAUCUGGUUUGAAAUACUUUAACGAUUAAUUUGGCAAAUGCAUCCUUCUGUGUCCCACUUGCACUCGAGUGUAGACACUUGUUUGCAUUCAGAUAUCAAGGACACAAUUUGCAAUACACCAGGUUGCCACAAAGCUUCAAAAAUUCACCUGGAAUUUUUAAUCAAUGUUUGAAAUCAUUGCUGCGGGAUCUACAACUCCCAGAUGGAUGUAAACUCCUGAUGUAUGUUGAUGACCUCCUGUUGGCAGCCCUAACAGCAGAGUUGUGUUUGUCUCUAACUAAACUUGUUUUGCUUCGUUUGCAUGAGCUGGGAUUCAAAGCUUCCAGAAAGAAACUUCAGUGUUGUCGCAAAUUGGUGACCUUCUUGGGCAGAGUGGUGUCCUCUGAAGGAUCCACUAUGUCCUCGGGGCAUCGUUUUUCUAUUCUACAGAUUCUCUUCAUCCACGUGCCAACCUCAGACUAACGGCAGGGUUCUGUUCAAUGAUGGUUGCUGUUACCGUAAGCUAAAUGGCUCUUUGGCUGCGGCGGCUGCCAUAGUGGAGCAGCAGCCCUCAGGUGAAUUUUUAACUGUUACCAAUUCCGUACUCUGUUCCCUAAGCCCAGGCAGUGGAAGUGCUCCCAGUCUGUCUCACACUGGAACUGCCGGUCGGACAAUCUGUCACUGUCUAUUCUGACUCAUCUUACGCUGUCUCGGCUGCUGUGUUGGACCUGUCUGCCUGGAAACGGAAUUAUUUUAAAACAGCCAAAGGUACUCCUAUUCCACAUUUGACACUGAUCCAACGAUUCGAUAAAACCCUGGGCAAACCUUCGGAGGUGGCUAUCGUCAAGGUCCCUGGUCACUCCAAUCCACCUCAACCACAGCCCUCGGCAAUAAUGCUGCCGACUUGGCUGCCAAGCAGGCUGUGGGCUAUGUCCCACAGAUGCUUGUCCAAUUAUCUGACAAAUCCUCUCCUGACCUGCCCAAACCUCCGUCUCGUAGUGAAUUGGUUAAAAUACAGCACAACGCCUCUCCUGAACAAAAGAUAUUCUGAUUGAAACCCACUCUAUUGCUCAUACUGGCCCCAGAGCCAUGCUAACCAAACUUCACAUAUGGUGGAAUCCUAAAAUGUCUGACUUGUGUCAUGCCUACUGUUGUGACUGUAAUAUUUGACAGCUACACUAUGUUCACCCCACACUUAGACCUUUGUCAGGUUCAUUUGACCCACCCACCUGGCCCGGUGCGGAACUGGUCAUGGAUUUCACAGACAUGAUCACGCCUGUUCAAGGUAAGCGCGACCUUCUUGUUUUUGUUGACACCUUUUCCGGAUGGCCUGAAACCUACCCCUGCACUCGCGAAGACCCCAUGUCGAUAAUGAAAGCUUUGGUGAACCACUGGAUUCCAACGUACGGUUUCCCUGCUCUCAUCACAACGGUGCACAUUUCACAUCCACACACCUCGCUACUGUAGAGAAGUGGUUAGGGUUUUGCCCUGCUACAGACUCUUAAUUGCAGUUUUAUUUUAUUGCUUGUUGUUGUUUUAUUAGCCAUGAUUCCAACAGAUAGUCCGAUUGCUUUUCGGACCAAGAGAGGGAGAGCAGGAAUCUAUGGCAUUCUUAUUAUUGGUUUAAUGUUCUUGGUAUUUUUAUCUGGGAAAUCGCUCAGAAAUACCCCAUACCCACAGCCACAUCAGUGCCAGCUGUUAGCAUAACCCACCCAGAAAAUAUUUAUCACAGAAGAAGACUUGUAUGAUAAACAAAGCCCUAUCUGUUGAUGAGGGGUUUAGGGUUUUGACAGGCAUUAGCGCAGUAAUCAAUAAUUGGUUACUAAUGGGAGAACAAGCGGCUAAUAAAGCCCUGAGUGACUGUGUUGUAUCCAUGAGACCUAGACCUUUGUUACGUGUUGUUUCCUCUUCUGUCAACUCCACCUGUGUUCUAGAUCUUGUGAAAAAUUAUGUGGCGACUAAAAAUGAAUGCAAAAUUUGGGAUACUGCCCACCCAGUAACACCAGCCCAAAAGAACAAACCUGUGUUUAAGCGUGCUGUGGCACGCCAAAACUUCACCUGUUUUCCUUUAAGAUAAUGGUGCCCCAAUUGACAAUAUCUCUGAUGAUCAGUGUGCAGAGACCCAGGAAACACCUUUCUUCCAACCUGUCAGCUAUACUUAUCUGUGGUGGUGGUGCGGAGGGGACCGUAUCGUCGACCGCCUCCCGUGCAACAGUAUGGGCAGACGUGCACGAGUAACUUUACUUUUGCCUAUUUCCGUUGUUCCUCUCACCCUAGAUGAUCUGGCGGUUGCUCCUGAACACUUCAAUGAAGCUCUUGGCCUAUUACACCGCUCACGUAGAUCCAAACGUACCUGGCUCGGUGCUGACGACCCCACCUAAAUUGGCACUUUUGGCAUCCCCCGUCGUGUCCCAGACGAGUAUAAACUGACUGAUCAGAAAACCGGCUGGCGCCAUCCUCCUCUCCCAGGCGUUGCCGUGGAGACAAACGACACCAGAUAAGGAGCAGAAAGUUACCAUCCCGACCCAGGCAGCCACUUUUACCGUGGACCCAUACAUAUAAAAACCUUGUAUUACUGAGCUUUUGUCUUCUUCUUUGGCUAUACUGCCAGAAGACACACGUCUCGUGUGCGGCAGAUACCUAGAUAAGACCCGGACGUCUGUACUGCACAUUCCUUUGUAAUUAAUCCAUUUGCUGUUAACAUUUUCCUAAUCAUUGGUCAUAUCUUCCUCGACUCGGGAACACGUGUGGGGUCCAAACUCGCAAAUCCCAACAACUUGGUGACCCCGACCAUAAGUCGAGGGAGAUAGACGAGGGUUGGCCGUCGACAGAUGAGAUAAAGAGACAUAUGAGAAACACAGGAAUGUUAUACGGACAAGUCGAACGUGGUCAUCUGUACUUCUGACUCCUCCAGGUCGUGACCAAAACCAAAGGUAAGCAGAAGCCUGUUUACUGUCAAAUUCUGCAUAUUGAACUGCCUAAAUUUGAGAAGUCAUUGGUAUCAAAUUGUUCAUGCCUCAUAUGCGUUAUUGAGAAUAAGAGAUAAAAAGAAUACGAGAUAAAGAGAGGUUGUAUAUCCCGUCGUAGUAGACUUAUAUUGUAGACGUACAAUUGCACUGUGAGGUUUACCUGUUACACCUAAGGGCGAUGAGAUCCCUUAACAGAGGGUUUGCAGUCGGUUUGAGCCUGAGAUGUCACGAGGUGGCGGACGAAAAAACAAAAUAGUAUAGGCUAAUUUGUUGCAUGAUAGGAAUUCGGUUGGGUUUAGUCGAAGAAGAGUGACCACUUAAUUAAAGAAAUAAUCAUGGAUGGUGAAUUUGAUCAUGAAUGUGCUGACUAUAGUCCAUCUAAGUCCACUGAAGACAUCUGAAAAUGUUGUUUUGCAUUGCUUUUUUCUUUUAUUCCAUUAACCCUACCUCUAGUUGCAAGUUGAUUUUGUUUUUACGUUACGUACUUUCUGUGCAAAUGAAAAAACAUUUUCCCCCUCAUUAUUGCUUGUUUAAUGUUACUCUGCAGUUUUGUUUGUAAAAAUAAAUAAAUAAUCACAAAAAACA